rnacentral:rRNA from 1 species
GAUGAACGCUGACAGAAUGCUUAACACAUGCAAGUCGAUGGGGACGUGGUGCUUGCACCAUGGCAACCAUGGCGGACGGGUGAGUAACGCGUAAGGGACUUACCUGCAGGACUGGGAUAACAGGGGGAAACUCCUGACAAGACCGGAUAAUGUCAUGGAGCUGCAUGGCUUUAUGAUGAAAGGAGACGCCUGCGGAGAGCCUUGCGUCCUAUUAGCUAGUUGGUGAGGUAAUGGCUCACCAAGGCGAAGAUAGGUAGCCGGCCUGAGAGGGUGGACGGCCACAAGGGGACUGAGAUACGGCCCUUACUCCUACGGGAGGCAGCAGUGGGGAAUAUUGGACAAUGGGGGCAACCCUGAUCCAGCAAUUCUGUGUGCACGAAGAAGGUUUUCGGAUUGUAAAGUGCUUUCAGCAGGGAAGAAGUAAGUGACGGUACCUGCAGAAGAAGCGACGGCUAAAUACGUG